rnacentral:rRNA from 1 species
UACAUGGGGUGCAAACGUUGCUCGGAAUCAUUGGGCGUAAAGCGCGCGUAGGCGGUUACACAAGUUGGAUGUGAAAGCCCUCGGCUUAACUGAGGAAGUGCAUCCAAAACUGUGCAGCUAGAGUACUAAAGAGGGUCGCGGAAUUCCCGGUGUAGAGGUGAAAUUCGUAGAUAUCGGGAGGAACACCGGUGGCGAAGGCGGCUUCCUGGCCUGUUCUUGACGCUGAGGCGCGAAAGCUAGGGGAGCAAACGGG